CGGCCGCCCCCCACACAAAGGGGCUCCCCGCCUGGGUCGCGGCGUCGGCGCACUCGUCCCCGCCCCGCGCGCGGGCUCUCACCCACCUGCAGGUGUCUGUGCGUCUGUCCAUAGGAACGCGGUCGGCGCGGGGGGGCCUGCGAGAGCCGGGCAGCCCGGGCUGGACGGGACGGGCCGAAGGGGCGCGAGGGCGGGAGGAGAGCGGCCAGAGGGCCGGGCACCAAAGGUGUGGAACCCGCCGUCCCCGCUAUGGUCCGAGGAAGUGUACAGCACUGCUCCCUACUACACGUCCUGGGCCCGCGGUCCCCGAUGCCCCCCGGAGCUCUGUGCACCUCCACUGAAACGCAAGGAGCAGACAGAACCUACACCAUCCGUGAGGCAUCCAACCAUGAUGAGGUACCUUGUUGAACAAACUAACUCUGCCACUGAGAACGAUGAAAGCUGUUUAAAAAAAUAAAUAAGUCUGUUUAAAACAAUUGGAGAGCAACCCUGUCAUCCAAGGCUUGAGAGUCCACGAGCCCCCCAGGAAGAAGAGAAAUACUCUGAAUGUCAGUACGGGGUCUAUCACAUAGUGGAAUUAAUGAGGAAACAGACUCAAAAAGGAUUUUGGCUUGCUCAAGGUCACACAGCUUGUAUGAGGCAGUGCUGCAAUUUAAAGCCAGCAAGAACCAUGAAACAGGUCUUAUAAAAAGAAAAAAAUUACAAUUCUGGAGGUGACCUAGUUGGAAGCCUGAAAUUCCAUGUUGUGAAACAACUAGAGGCCGGCCCUCUGAUCCUUUCUCUGGAUGUGCUGAAUUCAGCAGGGUGGAAGUGCUAAAACCAGGAGGAGCAAUGAAGUCAGUGUUGAGAAGAACAUGCAGCUGAGAAGCCAAGUGGGAGACCGGGACACUGCUCUGAUUGAGGAUAAUGUAUGUUACACUGUACCCACUCCGUUAAGCACAAUAAAUCUCCUUUUUCUUG
rnacentral:lncRNA from 1 species